AACAAACGCUGGCGGCGCGUUUUAAGCAUGCAAGUCGGACGGCAAGAGUUGUAGCAAUAUGACUCCUAGAGUGGCGAACGGGUGAGUAACACGUAGGUGAUCUACCUCUGGAUGGGGGAUAGUCCGUGGAAACACGGGGUAAUACCGCAUGAGGCCUUGUGGGUGGAGCCAUGAGGUGAAAGGUGCAAUUGCAUCGUCUGGGGAUGAGCCUGCGGUCCAUUAGGUAGUUGGCGGGGUAAGGGCCCACCAAGCCUACGAUGGAUAGCCGGCCUGAGAGGGUGUACGGCCACACUGGAACUGAGACACGGUCCAGACUCCUACGGGUGGCUG
rnacentral:rRNA from 1 species